AGAAUUUCGUUUCCCCGAUGGCGUCCUGUGCGCCGUCAACGGGUUGGGAAACACUGGCGUAGAAAACCGCGUUCAAUAUUCAGAAAUCCAGCGUGUGUUUGUUCUUCGUGACGUGACGUUUGUUGUCGAGCACGCACUCCCCUGCGCGGUUACGUUUUCGGGACUCGAGUUUCACAUUUAUCGCGGCGUCGGUAAAUAAUAACACGAGACUGUCGGACCGUUCGUGUUUGGCAUCGUCGUGUCGGACGAAUUCGGUAGAUUUUUAUGUCACGUGUAUUGAUGUAUGGAUAAUAUUUUAAAACGGGCGA